rfam:Camelus ferus unplaced genomic scaffold scaffold1461, whole genome shotgun sequence.
GCUCACUUAGGCAGCACGUAUACUAAAAAUGGAACAAUACAGAAAAGAUUAGCAUGGCCCCAGCCAAAGGAUGACACACAAAUUUGUGAAGUGUUCCAUGUUUUU